AGAGUGCUGCUGUGGAGCUCUGUCCAUACUAGGAGCUGCUGCUACUGAGAGCCUGCAGGGGCUUUGAUCCAGCAGGAAGCCGCAGCGGCUGUUGGUGGCUUCACUGGAGCCAGGGCAGAGACUGUUGCUGUGCUUAGAGCUGACUGGGGUGGGCCUGCAGUGAAGGACUAAUAGCUUUAUUCCUGGAGGUUCCCAAGGUACACCAUUGAGUGUGUACAGGGCCCAGCCACGUGGAGGCACUGCCAAUUUCAAAUUCCUUUGGGGGCAAAGGACUGCAGCAGAGGUGUGGAUAGAGGAUUCCCACCUAUCCAACAUCACCACUGGGAUACUCAGGAUCUCCUUUAAUGUCAACAACAUCAGGCGCCCAGGCACACGGGAGAUCUGGGCAACGAAGGUUCCAAACUGUAGACAGUGUCAGCUCGAAGUGACUCCAGGUUGACCCACAAACUCACGAGUCACAAACUGAUGUGACACCUUAGCCAAGAGAGCAAAAUGCUGCUGGAAGGAGAUGAAGGACUGGAAACAAACCCAGGUCUCCAUGUGGAAGAUGGGUGAUACAUGGAAAUGGCAGGGAAAUUUAAAGUCACAAGCUAAUAUGAAUGCAAUGAGAAGCUUGAAAAAAGUCAGGAAACUCCAAAAGUUAAGUUUUCUGUUCGUAUGCUAACAUGAUAUGUUGCAUUUACUAAUCCUUUGCUUGCUCACUGACAUUUUUUAUUUAAUCUAUACCAUCAUGAAGGGGGAGGGGGAUGUUUGGUCUUUCCAGCAUGAGGGAGUCCCCAGCAAGCAUUCCCCCAUGGGAUCUCCUUUUUCCAUUGCAUCAAAUGCAAACUACACGUCUUCACUUUUUCAGUCUAUCUCUUCCAUUGGUAUGUUCUCAAAUGCUGUCAAGCUGCCCAUAUACAGCUGUGAUCUACCAGCAAUGCCAGGCUUUAUUUUCCUUUAGUCACAUUUUCCCAUAAGCACCUUUGCACUUUCUCGAUGCCGCCGGGUAGGCAAGCUUUGUCAAAAAUCUGCAAGUCCACUACAUUAUCCUCCUUUACAUCUCUCCGUUAAAACUUCUGUCUGUUGUGAUUCCUGCAAAACGCUCAACAAUGGAUAGGCAGUUGUGACUGCUGCUUCUAAUAACACUCUAUGCUCAUCACAAUUUUCUCACUGUUAUUUUGUUAAUUUGUUGUAUCUACCAGUUCUCCUUCACCUCCCUGUAUGCUCUUAGGGGCCAAAACUAUCUUUUAUUUUUGUGUGUGUACAGUUCUUACUGCAUUCCCUCACUGGGAACUGUAGAUGCUAAUUGUGAUGCUGUAUGGAAUUGGGAGGGGGGGGCACGUUAGGAUAUUAUGAAUACCAAUAUUGUAAAAUUGCAAUGAGUUAUGCCAGAUAUACCAUGUAAGGUAUCUGCAAAAAUGUUAUAAUUUGCCAGGUAUGAUGAUCUUAUUUAUGUGUUUAUAUCACCUUUGUAUUGUAGGUUAUAGGUAUGGUAUGUCUGAAGUUCCAAACUUGUGCUGAGCAUCUGGGUGACACUCCCAGACAGAUUGGCAUCAGCACUGCCUAGCCUGAUUGAUAGCCCAUCAAGGGACAUCAUCUAUACAAUUGAGAGAAGGCAAGGGAUACACCUUAUGACUCAGCAAGGCAUGCAGGGCAUACCUAUGGACAGAACUCUAAAGCUAC